CUGAAGAUGCUGAGAUGGGCCCUAAAAAGUCCUGCAAGCA
rnacentral:tRNA from 1 species